GUCUUCAUUAGAGAAAUGAUUGAGUCUAGAACAUCAUCUUUGAAAAGUGGGCCAAGAACCUGGUGUUUUGCCUUUUCUUCAUUAGGAAAUUGGAAAUGUUUAAUGGUAUGAUGGUUUAUGAAGUUUGAAACUUUCUUAAGUUCAUCAGAGAUCAUUUGGCAGAAGUUGGCUGAAGACAUUUUUGUAAUAAAAAUGGGCUUCCGAAUUCGAGAGAAACUUGGAACUUGAGGAUAAAAUGGUAGAGUUUUUAGGAUUUCUGGAAAGCGUGAAGAAAAAUGAAGAAGGAAUGGGUUUAUGUAGACAAAAGAAGGGGGACAGUUCGAGAUUUUAAUAUUUUUUAAGUGGUUCCCCUAAUCAUCAUGAAUUCUAGAAAUUGGAAAAGUUUAAGCCGUCAUUAAAACAUCCUACUACACACGAGGGUGGCGUAUCCCGAUUUUCUAGGCACAUCUAUUGUGGAGCCAAAAAUAAUCAAGAAGAAUAUGUGACGACACAUGAAUUUUUAGGUAAAUAAGACAAAAUUACCCUCGAGGCACACCGGAACUUCCACACGUAAGAAGCGGACAAUCACGACUCAAUCAAGGUCAAGAGUGAUCAAAAUAUGUAUUUAUUCAAAACAUAUUUCAUCCAUUUUUAUCAAAUCAUCCCCACAAGGUAACCCUCAAUUAUUCAUUCAAAUUAGGAUUAAUUACUUAAAUUAAUUGAUUAAUUUCCUAAUUAAUUAAUCAAUUUCCUAUUUGAUUGCAAAAUAUUUUGACAUAAUAUCUUGCAAUUACACCCAAAAACCACCAUAAGUGGCUGGAUCAGGAAGAAGAAGGCAGAAAUUUGCAUCCACAAAUUGGUGUUUUCAUUGAGAGUCUUGAUUUAUACACUCGUAGAAAACUUUCACAUUCAAGGUUUCUAAUUUCUUGUUCAUUUGUAGAUUUUUCGUACAUUCUUAUUCUUGGAAUUUUUGUUUAUAAAAAUUCUUUGAUAAGACCUAAAAGAAAAUUACAAUGACUAGAAAUUCGGAAACUACAAUGAAUGGAACUAUACAAUGACUAGAAAUUCGGAAACUACAAUGAAUGGAACUUCCAACAUUCAAGAAUUUGGACCACGGCGAUUUACGAGGCUCAAGAGAAUAAUGAGUGGAGCGGCACCACCCCUACGGGGCACCACCGUGACAACCACCAUGGUAGCAACCACGACAGCAACUCUUGGCGAGCCCACUGCCCACGAGGAGUAGGCCACCUCGCAGCAUCAGGCCCAAGUCCGUGCCACCGUGACAACCACCCCCAUAGGAGAACAUGUAAAGAAGAUCAAUUCAAAAGGAAAGCAUGCUAGUUUUGCAAGGAAGACACUUUGGUAUAUCUCAAGUUCUAGUAUUCCUUAUCCAUCCUUUCAUAACCUCUACCAUAAAAACCUUACAUUACAACCUUAUGAAAGACCUAGCUGAUCUUUGAAGAUGUAUUCAUGGAUGUUAGUAAGUAUGUUUGCUAUCCUAUUCUUAGUAUUUGAUUCCUUUCAUAAGAUCUGUCCAGAAAGUUCUUUUGUUUCUAAUUGAAUUAUGUGUGAGAAUAUGUUGCUUUCCAUUACAUAACCUCACUCACAUAUACUUGUUGAGAGCAAGCCCUAGGAAUCAAGUGAAAGAGUGAAUCUGUGAGAUUAGAAUUGAGACGAAUCUUAUCUUUCUUGCUUGAGCUUGUACCUUAGUAAUAGGUUGAAUUUAAGCUAGAACACCUCGCUAACAUGCAGAUUUGAUUGCUGGAAAGGUAAAGUCAAAGUUAGGAAUGUAAGGCAUAGUUGAGCUUUGAUUCUUAUUAUCUUAUUUCAAAAGUGCUCUAAUCGUUAUUUUGUAGGUUGUUUAGGACGUUUAUGGGUACCAUCAUUGUUAAACCCUUAGGAGACACAACUCAUCCUACUAGGGAUGCCUAGAGGUUUAAAGGCUUGAUGCAUAAGCUGAAGGCAUUCGUCUCACCAACGGAAUUGGUCUUAGAUUAACUUAUGUUUGUCUUUUGUGUUGCUUUUGUUUCUUUUAGUUUUGGUUUGCUCGAGGACUAACAAAAUCUAAGUUUGGGGGUAUUUAUUGAGUGCAUAAAGUUAUAUUUUUAUGCCCUCUUUUACUUAGGUUUUUUACUUAAAAUCUCUAUGCAUCACAAGGUAUUUUGUUGUUUGUAUUGUAUUUCAGAAUGAAAGUAAGGGCUUGAAGAAAUCAUCUUAUUUUGAAUAUUUUAAGAGCUUAGAAUGGAUAGUUUGAAGCCCAACUCACCCAAGACCGGAUCAUAGCCCACAAGUAGCCUAAGAUCUGCCAGAAAAGGCCCUUGCAGAAUAGCCAAUUGCGAGCUUUGCCCUGAAGUGCUCAGAGCGAAUUAGAAAAUGGGCUAUAUAUGGUUGGAAAUCCCUGGAAGUCUUCUUUCUGAUGGUCUUUACAUAUUGUAAUUUGGAGGUUUCGACAAGAAGUUAUGACAGAAUAAAGAGGAGCUGUUCAGAUACAAAUUCUGAUAACAGCUAGUUUUCAGUCACUCCUAUACUAAAAGCUGAUUGUAAUGAGCUAUAAAUAAGAGUCAAUUCAAGGAUGUAAAUGUGUCAGAUGUUAGAAAAACUCCUAAGCCUUUUAAUAGGAGAAACAUACACAGAAUCAGAAGGAGAAAGAAAAGGAGAAAAAAAAGAAAGAAAAAACACAGAAUCUGGAGAAAGCAGGAAUCUUUAUCCUUAAGCAGUUUCUAGGUUCGAGCUUUCCUUUUAUGUAUUUUGUUAUGUUUUUAAUUUAGUUUAUGGAUACUUAGGGCUGCUUUGAAGCCCUAGAUAUGAUUGAAUUAAUGUUAUGAUGCAGUUUUAGGUUAUCAAUUUCAUUUGCAAGCUAGUAUAAGUUUUCUGUCUCAAUUAUUUAAAGCACAUAUAUUCAAGCUUAGCUACCUUGUUUAUGUUUGCUUUCUAUUAAGAUGAUAAGGAUGACUGUCAUAUCUUCUUUCAUUCCUUAGCAACAUGUGGUUAGGUUCAGAACUAAUCAUGUAAAUUGAUUCCAUGAAGUUCUAGGGUAAAUGUCAUGUUCUAGGGUUCAUGUAAUGUUCAUAAUCCUCUUCGUUCUUAAUGAGUUUCUAGGUCUUAAAUCUGAGUAUAUGCCAUGCUAGGUUGCAUCUACAAAUAUAAGUUGUAUGUAUAUGCCAUGCAUCUAACAUGCAAAGUAAGAGAUGAUUCAUACAAUCUAGUUAUAUGCCAUGCUAGAUAUGUGAACAUCUUAGUUGUGCAUUUGAAAUGGAUAAGUUAAAAGAUCAUCUCAUUGAUUCAUGAAUGUUUAGGGUAGGGGAAGGCCUUAGCUCAUUUUAAGUCAGAUUUAUGUCCUAAAAACGUUUCUAACUUAUUUCAUGCAUUAGGUUUAUUUUUAGAUAGUUCUAAUUUUUCACUUCUCUUUCUAUCUUAUUUCUUUUCCAAAAUUACUCAAACCCCCCAUUUUAAGUCAUAGGAGUCAUUAACUAAUGCUAAUUUGUAAGAGUCAAAGGUUUUACUAAGUUGUUUCUCAGUCCCUGUGGUUCGAUACCCUUACUUGUGUCGUUGUACUAUCCUUAUAUUUCCACUUGAAAGGAACUUCAACACAGCAGCAUGCCCAAGCCUGUGCCAUAAGGUAGCGAGCCCAUAUUCAAGCCCACGGUGCUACAUUGGCAACAGAGGCCCAAGCAGCUGCAGCAAUAGGAGUAGC
rnacentral:lncRNA from 1 species